rnacentral:rRNA from 1 species
UACGUAGGGUCCAAGCGUUGUCCGGAGUUACUGGGCGUAAAGCGCGCGCAGGUGGUCCACUAAGCCCGGCGUGAAAGCCCCCGGCUCAACCGGGGAGGGUCGUCGGGGACUGGUGGACUUGAGGGCGGCAGGGGCUGGUGGAAUCCCCGGUGUAGUGGUGAAAUGCGUAGAGAUCGGGGGGAACACCCGUGGCGAAGGCGGCCAGCUGGGCCGUCCCUGACACUGAGGCGCGAAGGCGUGGGGAGCGAACGGG